rnacentral:misc_RNA from 1 species
AAUGUUUGGUUUCUAUGCAUGGAGCAGGUGCCCGGUUUACUAAUUUCGUUUUACUGCAUGUGCACAAAAGUCGGAGAAAUGUUUUGUGGUAAUAACUGUGUGUAAAAGGUGACAAAUAUAUCUAUGGAAGAUAAAGAUGAAUGGAAGAUUAGCUGUCGGUUGUUAAAUUCAUGAUCAUGUUGAAGCUCAGAUAGCGCGCAGACUUCGACAAAUGGUGAAACAAGAGGCCAUGGAUCCUGACGAGAUGAGAGGCAGGACUGGCCAUGACGCUGAAGACAUCAACCAGUUUGACUCGGUAUCCAACGUUCGAUCUCAGCCGGAGCGGGUCAAGGACCCGCCCAAGUCAGUGCAGAGGGAGGGGAGUAAUGUACAAGGUGGCGGCAAAAAGGAGAACCCCCCAAACCACGGCAAGUCAAAGAAACUCAAGAAAACAAUCUUCAUUUCUUACUCCCCUGACGCAGGCUUCACAGAGCGAAAGUUUGUGGUGGAAACUGUGCGCCAGUUAAAGGAAAAUAAUCUGGCAGAAGACAUUUGGUUCGAUAAAGACGAAAAAAAUACGGACAGCCCCUGUUGGUUUUCCAUGCGUAUGGAAGCAAUUGAAAAGUGCCGUGCUGCAAUUUUGAUUUUGUCAGACAGUUACUUUAUGUGCCCUGUGUCGGUGUAUGAGGGUAAAACUCUUGUGGAGAGACUCAAAGUGGACCCAACAUCAGUUGCAAUAUUUCCAGUAAUGUUCUCUUCUUUAGAAAAAACUGAAAUGCCAAAAGAGUUUAAUCUGUUAGUUAAGGAUGUGGUGGAAUUAACUUCACCAGAUAAUCAUAAACUGAGCCUUGCUGAGAAGACUUCAGUGGUGAUAGGGUCUAUAAUGGAGGAGCUAGAGAAGUACGCCUCCAUACACUCACCCCCCACCCCCCACACCCCACCAGACACAGAAUUCACUGGGGAGUACAAACGUAAAAAGAUCUGUCAGUGGAGCGUGAAUGACCUCCAGGAGUGGCUGUUUAAGCUGGGCAUCAAGGAGUUCUACCGCCAGAGCCUGGCCGAGUGCAUGGUGGACGGGUUCCUGCUGAUGUCCCUCACGGACCAAGAUAUGAUCCACCAGCUCGGAAUUGACAGCCGUGUGGUACGUAAGAAGGUGAUGCAGCAGAUCCUACAGACGCUGGACCGCGAGCACAGGCAGCCGGACAACUGGCACCUCCGCGCGCGCACUCAGCGAUCCAAACCUGAUGUGAUUUAUCUCAUCUACGACCCAACUGACGUCAGACUGGCCCAGAAUAUCAAAGCGGACCUUAAGAAGAAAAACUUGCAGGUUAUCCAUCAUGACAGCGUAAAGCUGGGAAGAUCCAAAGAGGAAUUCCUGCAGAUAAAUGGACCACAGGUUGCCAUGGCAACACAGGUGAUCGUACUUCUGACUGAGGCAGCCACAGGGUCACCAUUUGUGUUUCAUGAAGUCCUGUUUGCUGAUUGGCUGGGCAAGAAGCUUGUGUCGGCCAUGUUUAAGAAUGUUUGUCCUACCUCAACAAAAUGGCUGAGGGACUCAAACCACUGGAGAUGCUAGCCUACUCCAGAAAUGGUGUGGUGUCGCGGACGCCCAGUGAAGGUGACCCCCAGGUGUUUAUCAGCUACCAGUGGGACAUGCAGGGUAAGGUGGAGGACAUCAAACAGCUGCUGGAGAACAACAGCUUGCAGUGCUGGGCCGACGUGUCCAUCACCCUACCCCCCAGGGGUCACAGCAGCAAGUCCAGCCGCAGCGGGGUGGGGCUCCACGAUGGGGGGUCAGAGACUCUACAGAGUCAGAUCCAGAGAAAUAUGAAGGCAGCCUCAGUGGUGCUGAGUUGUAUCACCCCCAAGUACCUCCAGAGUGACAACUGUAAGAAGGACCUCACCCUGGCUGAGACCUUCAACAAGCCUGUCAUUCCUGUCCUACUCAGAUUCUCCCCCCAGGAGAGUGCACCUGAGCAGGUGAGAAAAAUCCUGUCCAAGUUCUCAUAUAUUGACCUCAGUAACGAGCGGCUUUACAAACAGAAUAUUCCAUUAGUGUUGGAGAAAAUUAAAAAAGCAGUCAGUCAGAGAGGAGGUUACCGUGACUACUGAGGUCAUCACCAUGACAACCGCCUGUCAGCAUUUGUUUACAGUCAGUAUUUGUAUAGGACCAUACCUGUAUGUGCUUCCACAUUGUUACAGACUGGAAUCUCCGUGUGAGGGUGGGUCAACCAUACCCUAAAAAGGUCAUGUACAAUUAAUGCCAAAUGUGCAAAUUCCUGGAAACGUUUUAUGUGAUAUGUAUAUGUUGACCUUGACCUUUCUGUGUGAGUGACCUUCAAACUGUUCAUUAGAGAUGUGCACGUGUCAGUUUGUUGAUUGUUGUCAUGUUCAUCGCCUGAAGCGCUCACUGUUUUCUGUUCUUGUUUGAAUAAAAUAAUCAGUAUAAGUUG